rnacentral:lncRNA from 1 species
GGCAUUGUUAAAUUCAAUAAUAUAAAAUUAUCCCAACACAUAUAUAAAUACAAAAUACAAAACAACAAUUUCAAGGCUCAAAGAGAACACAUGAAAUCUAAAUUCUCAAGUCCAUAAGCACAAACUAGAAAUACAAAACCAAUUUCAAUUUCUUUAUAUGCAAUCCUUUUGUCUCUUCAACAUGUGCAAAUCCUGAAAAAAAAUACCAUCAUCUAUAGUCCAUGGCUUGAGCAUAUCAGAACGAAGAAGAAGAUGGAAGGCAUGGGUACACAAAGAAUGAAGAAGAAGGUAGAAGAACAAAGAUCAGUUCUCUGAAUAUUUGAAGAUAGAAGAUUGAGACUAAAAAUCGAGGAUGGAUCAAAGAAGAACUAAUAAUCGAUUGAGAGAAGAAGAAGAAAAGGAGGAGGAGGGUAGAGAUGAUCAUGGAGACGAAGAAGGACGGAUGGGGGUGGAGAUGAGAUUAAAAAUUGAUGAAGAUAAACUGUGAUGGGAGAGGCGGCAAAGAGAAAAUGAUGGAUAGACUAGGUUUUCUU